GAGUCAUGUUUUAAAGGGACAGCAGUUCAUGACAUUCAUUGUGUUUCUUUGUUUUCUUUUCUAAUGACAGGUCGUAAUUGCUGCUGUAUUGUGCAUCCCAAGUACCCCCUGCAUUCUUAUCAAGGAUUGCUGUCAUUCAAGAACUUAUUUCCUCCCCCAUUGUGGCUGUGCUACACAUUCUCUUCAUUUUAUUUUAAACAUAAAACAUCCAGAGGAGAUGGCACCUACGUUGGAAUUCAUACAAAUUCUUCCUGUGAAGAAAUCCUGAACGAGGGUCGACGGUUCAGAUGAAGGGAACCUAUGCUUCCAAGACUCAUGUAUGAACAACUUCGAGAAUCCAUGUACAAUUUGAGCUUUUUUCAAAUCUCAACAUGGAACUUGGACUGAACAUGCAGCAAAAGGAAAAAAAACAACAAAAGUAGUAGUUUCCCCAAGCUGGCA